rnacentral:rRNA from 1 species
GAUGAACGCUGGCGGCGUGCCUAAUACAUGCAAGUCGAGCGAACAGACGAGGAGCUUGCUCCUCUGACGUUAGCGGCGGACGGGUGAGUAACACGUGGAUAACCUACCUAUAAGACUGGGAUAACUUCGGGAAACCGGAGCUAAUACCGGAUAAUAUAUUGAACCGCAUGGUUCAAUAGUGAAAGACGGUUUUGCUGUUACUUAUAGAUGGACCCGCGCCGCAUUAGCUAGUUGGUAAGGUAACGGCUUACCAAGGCGACGAUGCGUAGCCGACCUGAGAGGGUGAUCGCCAACACUGGAACUGAGACACGGUCCAGACUCCUACGGGAGGCAGAAGUGGGAAAUCUUGCGCAAGGGGGGAAAGCCUGACGAGGCAACGCGGGGUGGGGGAGGAGGGUCUUCGGAUCGUAAAACUCUGUUAUUAGGAAGAAACAAAUGUGUAAGUAACUAUGCACGUCUUGACGGUACCUAAUCAGAAAGCCACGGCUAACUACGG